rnacentral:lncRNA from 1 species
CAGCAUCCCUCGGGGGAGGCCAGUCCCCCAGGUCUGUUUUGUGACCCUUGGCUGCACAUUCUCCCAGAUAGGAGCUACAAACCAGGGCCCUGCGUCAGACCCUUGGGGAUGGGGGAGGUCUAGAAAAACCCACGGAGGAAGAAUAAUGGUACCAGAGGGAACUUUAACUCCUAGAAUCAGGGACCGGGAAAACCUGAAGUUCAGGAAAGCUGCUAAUGAAGUGAGAUGGAAGCCACGUGCCUUGCCAGGAGCUUACUAACGUAAUGUGGCACCCGCCAGCCUAUUCUGCAGACAUAAUGGAAGAGAGUGUUUCCACUGCUCAUUCCACAGGCAAGCCACAGAUCCUGGCCACUCCUUGCCUUGGAGGCAGUACAGACACAUUCAUAGGGUUUGGCUCCUUUCCCUUGAGUUCUGCACCUUAAACUAAAGAAGUCAGUCACGCGAGGCUGGCUUGCUGGAACCGGCUAGAAAAUGCAGCCCUGCCUGCCGCAGGGAUCUCCUCCGGUAUGGCCACACAUAUGAGUUCUGGCAAUGCCCAUUAGUGAUAUGGCCGAUAGUUUCUUCUGUCUUGCUUCCAGGAACCUUUUCUUGGUUUGAAGCCACCGAACCAGAAGAGAGAAUUUUUACCACUUUGAGGACUUCUUGUGACGAAUCCAAUGGGAAUUCCAUAAUAUUCAGAAACAAAACAUUUUGAGGGCCAACAAAUUAUUAAGCCCUUUGCUAGGUCUUAGAGAUACAAAGAUAAAGAAGACUGGAGUUUUCUUUUUAUUAUCUACCAGACUGAAGGCCACUGCCUGGGGACUUGAUCUAAGAGAAGAAAUAUCAGGAGACCUGGGUUUGGCUCCUGGCUCUGCCAGGUGAUCAUGGAGCAGUCACGUAUUAUCCCUGAGCUUCCGUUUCCUCAUCUACUUAAUUAGUGAUGGGUCUACAGGGCCUUGCUGGGGUCCACUUCUGACAUUCUGUGUUGCAUGGACCAUGUCAGAGAAGAUGGAGACACCUUCACGGCCUGUUAGUCACAUCUCACCAAAGCUUCUCAAUGGGCUGUCAGACAAGAAAGGAGCCUCCUGUAGCCAUCUUAAUCAGCAUCCCCCAUCUGUGAGGUCAUCGGGAUAUUUCAAACAAUCUUCAGCUCUCAUUAGUUGAGUGCGUUUCACAGAUAGUUGUCCGGAAAAGGAAGAGGAUGACACUGAUGACCAGCCGUCUUGGGUGGUUCACAGGCUCACUAAGGAGGCAGUGUUGAGCCUGACGGAUCUGUGAAGGCCCCUCCGACUUGUAACUGUAAAAUGAUGACUCUUGAUGGAACUCUACAGUUGUUGACACCUGGUGGGCCACCUACAGCUGAAGGUUCAAAGUGAUAAAACAAACCUGGUACGGAAAUAACUGAUUGUGGAACGCGAAGGACCUGUGAUCAUGCAAAGGUGACAGAGCAGACACUGAUAGUAGAACUGUGGAGAAGUAUCCCUGGAGAUGACCCACAAUCUCAAGAAGGCUGAAGAGGAGAGGAAGAGAAUGGAUAAAUCGAAACAAGUGUUUAGAUGAUCAAGGCCUUAUAAGCCAUACCGCCAUGUAAGACGUGCCAUUC